UCUAAUAUGGCAGAUUAGUGCAAUGAAUUUAAGAUUCAUAUAUAAAUAUAUAUAUUUUUUUAGAA
rnacentral:tRNA from 1 species